GACGAACGCUGGCGGCGUGCUUAACACAUGCCAGUCGAACGGAAAGGCCCUGCUGUUGUGGCGUGCUCGAGUGGCGAACGUGUGAGUAACACGUGAUUAACCUGCCCUUGAGUUUGGGAUAACUUCAGGAAACUGGUGCUAAUACCGGAUAGGCGCUCCUGCUGCAUGGUGGGGGUGGGAAAGUUUCGGCGGUUGGGGAUGGACUCGCGGCUUAUCAGCUUGUUGGUGGGGUAGUGGCUUACCAAGGCUUUGACGGGUAGCCGGCCUGAGAGGGUGACCGGCCACACUGGGACUGAGAUACGGCCCAGACUCCUACGGGAGGCAGCAGUGGGGAAUAUUGCACAAUGGGCGGAAGCCUGAUGCAGCAACGCCGCGUGCGGGAUGACGGCCUUCGGGUUGUAAACCGCUUUCGCCUGUGACGAAGCGUGAGUGACGGUAAUGGGUAAAGAAGCACCGGCUAACUACGUG
rnacentral:rRNA from 1 species